GCCUGCUGGGCAGACUUAAGAACAGAGCUCUGACAGGGUUCCUCAUAGCUUUGUUUGAUUUAAUUAUCUAAAUAAUAAUGCAGUAAAUCAUGUUAUGGUGGUUGUUGGUGUGUGAAGUCUCUUGCAGUUAUGAGCACCACUGAGGUGGAGUGUUGACUCUUCUGCUGCCAUUGACUAAGCAGUGUAAUAUCACAGGUGGUCUGAGUAGCAGAAGGAAUCUGAGGGACAGGAAGGUUGGGGGAAGCAAGGAAGCCCUGAAGAAAAAAGUGAAAUGGUCUUCUGAAAUGAACAACAGUUAAAGGAUGAACAGAAAAAGCAGGAGCCUUGGAAAGGAAGAGAAGAGGCAAAUGAGGAGAUGGGAUGGGGCAUGGAGUUACGUGAUACCAACAUCAACCACCUGCUGUCCUGCAGAUAGAAAAUGACGACAUGGAGGUUGUUCUCACGAUCAACCAUACCUGGGUAGAACCGGGCAAGCCAAGGCAUAUUUACUCAGGAGUAAAUCUUACUGAGUACACCGUAGAACACACUUCUGAGAAAACAUGCAUAGGAUCACACUGUAAGACAGUUCUCAGAGGAUGCCUCUCUUAGAAGAAGACAGAACUGACCAAAAGAAUGACCUCUGCCUUUCUGGGAUGCUCGCUGCCUGCCUGAUGCUGUGGAUGAAACUGUCCCAACGCACUCUAUUCAUCACUGCUGCUGCUUCUUAAGGAGCAGCAAUUGGCACACUCACUCAUUGAUCCAUCAGUGCCACACGCCUCUCAUUGGGUCUCGAGCAGCCAACUACAAAUGAGACGUUGAGGCUUGUCAGUCAAAAGCUCUUCAUGGCUCCUGUUACUGCUGCAGGAUAUUCCUACCUGGUGUCCAGCAAAAAAGUCCCUGUGGGCUGGAUCUGGCCCCUGGGACUUAUGUCGUGCAGGCCUGCUAUAGGACAAGCCCCCCAUCAUUGUGCAAAUGGGAACUCAAAGCCAAGUGGUUUUUAUUAUCAAAACCAAUACUCUAGUCAUUAAAAGAAACAUACCAUAUCCCUAUUAUGUGCCUACAAUUAAUAACUGAACAAUGUUUGGUAAUAUUUACCCCAUUAAAUUCACCAAAGUGGCUACAUCGCUCCCAAUACUUGAUUUGAAUUCCCAGACCCAGUUUUCUCUAUGUAGUAGGGAUGGUGACAAGUCAUUAUACCACCCUCUGUUUACAGGGUCUUUAACAUUUAUAUUAUAUAAAUAUAUUGCAUUAUAUUAUAUAUAUUCUUUGUUUGAUCAGGUUGCUAGUUUACUGGAUUAUGGGAAUGCUGUGGAUGUAAUGCCGCUUCCUGCCACUGCAUGAUGGGGCGGGGUUGUCUCCUGAAGCAGGCAUUGGGGCCUCCAUCUUCGUUCCCCCUCCAUGUGGCUGCGACCAGCAAAUCGGGAGGGAGGUGAGCCGAUCGAGCCUGGUCGCCUCAAUUCCAAUCAGUCUCCCUGCAGCCUGGCAGGGAGUUUUUGCAGCCCAGAGGGUUGGGGAAUGGUCCCUGCUUGGGGUGGUGCUUGUGGCUCAAUGCAAAAACUCAGUUUUUGCGGGUUUGGUUGGGGUUGGGUCGGGCUGCCACCCCCUCAGCGGGGGAUGUGGUAACAGGAGGUCAGGACAUGGCAUCUGACCAAAUCAGUACCUGGC